AGGGAAUCUUCCACAAUGGACGAAAGUCUGAUGGAGCAACGCCGCGUGAGUGAUGAAGGUUUUCGGAUCGUAAAACUCUGUUGUAAGGGAAGAACCAGUAUGUCAGGCAAUGGACGUACCUUGACGGUACCUUAUAAGAAAGCCACGGCUAACUUCGUUCCAGCAGCGCGGUAAUACGAAGGGUGCAAGCGUUACUCGGAAUUACUGGGCGUAAAGCGUGCGUAGGUGGUGGUUUAAGUCCGUUGUGAAAGCCCUGGGCUCAACCUGGGAACUGCAGUGGAUACUGGAUCACUAGAGUGUGGCAGAGGGUAGUGGAAUUCCCGGUGUAGCAGUGAAAUGCGUAGAGAUCGGGAGGAACAUCAGUGGCGAAGGCGACUGCCUGGGCCAACACUGACACUGAGGCACGAAAGCGUGGGGAGCAAACA
rnacentral:rRNA from 1 species